CUUCUUCAGGCAGACUGGAAACAUCAAAAUUUUCCACUUCAUCGUCUUCUAACCAAUUCAACAUGUUGUAACAAAUCUUACCCAUAUAUUCACAAACGAAGACUACAAAAAAAGGAGUAACAAGAUCAUUU